rnacentral:rRNA from 1 species
AACCAACGCUGGCGGCGUGCCUAAUACAUGCAAGUCGAACGGGGAAAGCUUUCGGGUGAGUACUAGUGGCGCACGGGUGAGGAACGCGUGGAUAAUCUGCCUUAGAGUGGGGGAUAACUAGUCGAAAGAUUAGCUAAUACCGCAUAAGACCACGAGAGCUGCGGCUUUUGAGGUCAAAGGUUUUUCGCUCUAAGAUGAGUCCGCGUAAGAUUAGCUAGUUGGUGAGGUAACGGCUCACCAAGGCGACGAUCUUUAACUGGUCUGAGAGGAUGAUCAGUCACACUGGAACUGAGACACGGUCCAGACUCCUACGGGAGGCAGCAGUAGGGAAUAUUGCACAAUGGAGGAAACUCUGAUGCAGCGACGCCGCGUGAGUGAUGAAGGCCUUCGGGGCGUAAAGCUCUGUCGCAGGGGAAUAACACAAUGAAGGUACCCUGUAAGAAAGGAUCGGCUAACUUCGUG